UGGGGAAUUUUGGACAAUGGGCGAAAGCCUGAUCCAGCAAUGCCGCGUGUGUGAAGAAGGCCUUCGGGUUGUAAAGCACUUUUGUCCGGAAAGAAAUCCUUGGCUCUAAUACAGUCGGGGGAUGACGGUACCGGAAGAAUAAGCACCGGCUAACUACGUGCCAGCAGCCGCGGUUAAUACGUAGGGUGCAAGCGUUAAUCGGAAUUACUGGGCGUAAAGCGUGCGCAGGCGGUUUGCUAAGACCGAUGUGAAAUCCCCGGGCUCAACCUGGGAACUGCAUUGGUGACUGGCAGGCUAGAGUAUGGCAGAGGGGGGUAGAAUUCCACGUGUAGCAGUGAAAUGCGUAGAGAUGUGGAGGAAUACCGAUGGCGAAGGCAGCCCCCUGGGCCAAUACUGACGCUCAUGCACGAAAGCGUGGGGAGCAAACAGGAUUAGAUACCCUGGUAGUCCACGCCCUAAACGAUGUCAACUAGUUGUUGGGGAUUCAUUUCCUUAGUAACGUAGCUAACGCGUGAAGUUGACCGCCUGGGGAGUACGGUCGCAAGAUUAAAACUCAAAUGAAUUGACGGGGUCAUAGCUGUUUCCU
rnacentral:rRNA from 1 species